GGCCACCAAAUUACAGCCACAUGAGGUUUUACCACAAAUGCAAUGUCUUUUGGACUCAUUGGAAAUGAUGAAUUGCCAACCAAUUAUUGUUUGUGGAGACUUCAAUGAGGACCUUAUGAGCAGAGGAAAAAAACCCAUCCAAGAACUGUUCAGUCAAGAGGAUAUGCACAACUUAUUACUGCUGCAACCACAGAAAAACACACAUUGAUUGAUCACCUUUACAUAUCACAGCCAUACGCCUGCCUCCAAUCAGGUGUUCUGAAUACAUAUCACAGUUAUCACAACCCCAUUUAUUGUGUAAUUCACUAACACAAAAUGACUGCAAGGUUGUGAGGGAUAUGGACUUGCCAAGUGAUCUUAGUGUCUUUGCAACUGAGCACACUCUACCAGCAACACUGACAGCUCACCAGUGGGAGCUGAUAGAUAAGACUGCUCUCAUCCAUUGAAGAGCUGACCAGAAACAUGAACAGAAAGACUGCAACUGCACCUGAUGGGAUCCCUGCCAUAACAGAUGUGUUCUGUCCAGUGAAGGCAGUGGAGAAGCCCUACACUAAUCCUGAAACUGUGCCACGCUACUAGAAACCGGCUACAAGGAUGGGCAGCUGUUUUCGCAAAGUCAGCCAACCUCUUGCUUCCAAAUGACCCUUAUCCAGAAGUAUCCGUGAGUGCCUCAUCAACAGAAACUAAAGUGGAGACCUACCUCUCAGAGAAAAACGCACACAUAAGAAAAGCCGACCCACUUCAGUACUGGGAAGAACAUCCUAAUCUGUUUCCCUCUAUGGCUGCUGUUGCGAUCUCAGUGUGCCCCCUGUAGCUCUGUGGACAGUUUUGGAUUUGUUUACAUCUCACCCCAACCGGUCGCGGCAGAUGGCCGCCCCUCCCUGAGCCUGGUUCUGCCGGAGGUUUCUUCCUGUCAAAAGGGAGUUUUUCCUUCCCACUGUCGCCAAAGUGCUUGCUCAUAGGGGGUCAUAUGAUUGUUGGGUUUAUCUAUAUACAUUAAUGCUUGUAUGCUUUUCAUUUAUACUUUUGCCUUACUCUUCAGUUCAUAAUAUAAAGUUACUUGAAUGGU